ACCUAUUGAUAUCACAGCUGAAAAUAUAAACUCGACAACCAAAGCCCAUUGCACAACGUGGACUGCGUAAGAGUUAAAAAUAGAUUCGACGUGCCUCCUACCUGCAUAAUAAAUAUUCCAUCAAAAUCCUGAGCAGUAUUGACAAACCACACGAGCACCGGGUCUGACUGCAUGAUCAGCUGUCUGUGUCUACGCUACACCCUGUUAACCACAAGCAGUGUUAGAGCUAAAUAUAUCUGCAAUGCAGAAACGGUAGGUGCUAUGUGGCAUACAAUUCUGAUCAGUUUUAAGAUAUUUUGCUAUCCUCAGAUAUAAUAAAUAAAAGAAAAUUUGGUGCUGA